rnacentral:rRNA from 1 species
GACGUAGGGCGCGAGCGUUGUCCGGAUUUAUUGGGCGUAAAGAGCUCGUAGGCGGCUUGUCGCGUCGAAUGUGAAAACCCACAGCUCAACUGUGGGCUUGCAUUCGAUACGGGCAGGCUAGAGUUCGGUAGGGGAGACUGGAAUUCCGGGUGGAGCGGUGAAAUGCGUAGAGAUCCGGAGGAACACCAACGGCGUAGGCAGCGCCCUAGACGAGACCUGACGCUCAGGCACGAAAGCUCGGGGAGCGAACAGG